AACGAACGCUUGCGGCGUGCCUAACACAUGCAAGUCGAACGAGAAAUCCUGCUUGCAGGGUGAGUAAAGUGGCGCACGGGUGAGUAACACGUGGGUAAUCUGCCCUUGAGACAGGGAUAACAUUCCGAAAGGAGUGCUAAUACCUGAUACGAUGAAAAUAUCAAAAGGUAUUUUCAUGAAAGGUGACCUCUUGCAAAAGUUGCCGCUCAUUGAUGAGCCCGCGUCCCAUUAGCUUGUUGGUGGGGUAAUGGCCUACCAAGGCAAAGAUGGGUAGCUGGUCUGAGAGGACGAUCAGCCACACUGGAACUGAGACACGGUCCAGACACCUACGGGUGGCUG
rnacentral:rRNA from 1 species